UGAGUUGUUGCUCAGCAGUAGAGCACUUGCCUUGUAUGUGUGAGGAACUGAGUUCAAUUCCCAGCACCACAU
rnacentral:tRNA from 1 species